rnacentral:lncRNA from 1 species
CGGGAUGAUAUUCGGGAGCGGGACGGCGCCACCCACAACCGCUCCUCCAUCUUUGAUUAAUUUGUUGGUUUUGUCUCUUUCAAUUAUUAUUUUAAUAGGUAUGUACACAAGUACCAACUCAUUAUUCUUCUUCCCCUUAUCUUCUUCAUCAUCACUAUAGUAGAGAUUUGAAGAUUCGGAAGAAAUAGACAAAUUGUUGAGGAAAAAGAAGAAAAUUCACGAUGCUCAAGUUGUACAUAAUAAAUUAGAUGGGAAAAGAAAAUUUAGGGUAUUUAUAUUUCCUUGCUUGAUUUUGGUUUUACAACUUGCCACACACCCAGCCUGAGUGCCUGACUGCGAAAUUUCGGCAGGCAGCAGCAGUAGUACUAGUAGCAGCUGUGAUGGGAUCAUGGAACUGUGUCAUCUGAUAAGUGAGACAAAUGUUUGAAGUAGAUGAAAAGACAAAUCUAGAUAUUGCUGGUUCUGCAAUUAUAUGUAAAUGAAUGAUGUGUGAAAUCCAAAUGAAAAUAACCCUAAUCCGCCCCUCCCAAACAACUUCCCCAUGAACAUGAAGAAUCAGCAACCAUGAAUGCCACUUUGAAGAAGGUUGGCUGGAAAUGGCAUAGCUGAGCUGGAAAUCCCUAUAUAACGAAAACAGAGAAUAUCGCAUCGCAUCACGUUAUCUAUAUGCCCGCACACACCCAACUGUCUCUCUAAUGCCAAACACUACUAUUAGCGCAAAGCAAGCAAUGUCACAUCAUAAUAAAAUAAAAUGCAUCACAUAGACAGAGAAACAUCCACAACACAAGAUAGACAGAGACAUAGACAUAAUAAGUAACAAGCAUCUUAACUGCUGGCUGCUAUUCAAAACCAACUUCUUGAGAGUUCAAACUUCCAUGUUCCUUCCUACUUCCACACAGUCAAGAGAGAAAGACUAAUGUUUACCAAAAUGCUCAUCCGAUAAGAUUAAAACAAACAAACAAACCCUAAAUUUACUCACCUCUAAUAAACACAUAUGGGAUUAUAUCGUUCCUUACCACCUUCCUUUACUUCCACCCCACGAGCUUGUUUCUGCUGGCUUUUUCGCCCAUGCGGAAGAGCUCCCAGGUUCACCACCCCCACUCGAUUCACCAUUGUCACCUCCUGGUGUCCCCCAACCACCACCAGCUUUGCUGCUAGUUGAAUCUGAUCCCUUACUCCCACCAGCUUCAACAUUCUGUCCCGACUCUUUCACAC